CUUACUUCCUUGCCUUGAUGCCCUUUUUACUUCUUCUCUAAACAAAUAGGAGUUACGACAUAUCAUUACAUCCCUUGGAGUUUCUGGAGUCAGGUUGCUUGGUUUUGGGAUUUUGUGGUAUUUUUCCAGAAAUUUGUAUUUAUCAUCCGUAUAGAUUCCCAUCUCUGAGAAAUAAGAGUUUAGAAAAACCUGCAAUUUAUCUUGGCUUAUAUUUUCUGGUAUGUUCCUUAUCCUCAAAUUUGUUUUGCCUGGAUCGACCUUCU